ACUCCUACGGGAGGCAGCAGUGGGGAAUAUUGGACAAUGGGCGCAAGCCUGAUCCAGCCAUGCCGCGUGAGUGAUGAAGGCCCUAGGGUUGUAAAGCUCUUUCACCGGUGAAGAUAAUGACGGUAACCGGAGAAGAAGCCCCGGCUAACUUCGUGCCAGCAGCCGCGGUAAUACGAAGGGGGCUAGCGUUGUUCGGAUUUACUGGGCGUAAAGCGCACGUAGGCGGACUAUUAAGUCAGGGGUGAAAUCCCGGGGCUCAACCCCGGAACUGCCUUUGAUACUGGUAGUCUUGAGUUCGAGAGAGGUGAGUGGAAUUCCGAGUGUAGAGGUGAAAUUCGUAGAUAUUCGGAGGAACACCAGUGGCGAAGGCGGCUCACUGGCUCGAUACUGACGCUGAGGUGCGAAAGCGUGGGGAGCAAACAGGAUUAGAUACCCCUGUAGUCC
rnacentral:rRNA from 1 species